UUGAACACAAGACAAAAUACGGAGAAGACAUGCCAACCGAAGGCGAAGGAGGUUCGGCAGAAACGCCGCAAAUGCAGACCGCUCCGACCGCUCCAGUUUUAGAUUUUGCUUCGAACUUUCCAGUCCCAAGCCCAAGGAAAGUGUCAGGGAACAGAGUUACAAACUGGGAGUUCUUCAGACAACAGUGGGAGGAUUACGAGCUUGGCACCGGGCUCGAACACCGAUCAGAACCAGUCCGUUUAGCAACAAGUAUGACGCGCUCACGGACGAGAUGAAUCGGAACAGGAUCGUAAUAGGAAUCCAAGACAAAGGUACGAAGGUACGACUGCUCAAAGAAGAGAAUUUGGAUAUGGACAAGACACUCAGUAUUUGCAAAUCGAACGAAGCGGCGACUAAACAGCUCGAUUUCAUGAAACAGGAUCAAAGCCCAACAAACGAGCACGUCAACGCCGUGGGCAGUCAAGCGAAACGACCAAAUGGCAAAUGAUCGCGCGAUAGAAAGAAAGAUCCAAAGGAUACAAAGAAUACGAAGAAGAAUUGCAGCAGAUGUGGUGGACCAAAUAAGCACAAGAAAGAAGAGCGUAAAGCGUACGGUCAAACAUGUCUUGUGUGUUUGAAGCCAAAUCACUUUGCAUCUGUAUGUCGUCAGAAAAACAAGCCCACAUGAGAAAAGACAACACAUAAAGGUCGCAAGCAACCGAUAGUGAAGAUCCGCUCUUCAAGAUCGAAAAAGUCUCCAGCGUGGAAACACCAGGCAAGCAAUUUAACGCUAAGAUAAUCUUCUCAGACCUAGAAGAGUCAUACUUCACCGAGUUAUAAUGUCAGUUAGACACCGGCGCUACGUGCAAUGUGAUGGAGCUCCUACACUUGGCAGUCGUAAAACAAACGGGCGACCCCCCUCUCAGAAGUAGUUACCCUGAAGACACACCAAAAUAACACAGCCAAAGAGUUGGAUUUCCAGGUUGUCGAAACAAUAAACAAGCCUCUACUAUCUGCUGAAACCUGUGAGAAACUCGGACUGUUUAAGCUUACCAUCUCAGACACAGUACAAGUAAACAGUGUAGGUCCAGUAUCAGUAAAGAUGAGUGCUCCACUGAUCAGAGAGAAAGUCUUGACCGAAUACAAGGAUGUGUUCAAUUGCCUUGGUCAUAUAGGAGAUUCCAGUAGUUUCACUAUCGAUCCAAACUAUCCCCUAGUACAACACGUGCUGAGAUACAUACCAGUGACUCUGCAGAAAGAAGUCAAGGAGAAGAUUGCAGAGUUGGAGAGGAAAGGCAUUAUACAAAAAGUGGCUGAGUCCACUUCAUGGAUUAGCAGUAUGGUGGUACUUGAAAAGUUUCCUCCAACUUGUUCACCCUGAAAUCUAAGGAAUAUAUUGUGCUUACAGACAGUUACUCAGAUUUCAUAGAAGUUGGUGAGUUGAAGGACAUGACCACAGUGUACAUCAUAAAGUUUUUCAAAGAGCAAUUUAGCUGUUACAGCAGACCUGAUGUACUUGUCACCAACACCGCCAUUUGAGAGUAUACGUAAUUUUCCAGGGAAUGGGAGUCUAAACACAUGAUGUCAUCACCCAAGCAUGUCAAAUCCAACAGUAAGGCCAAAGCGGCAGCAGAAAUAGUAAAGAAGAUUUUCAAGAAAGCAUACAGAGACAACAAGGACCCUUGGCUGGCAUUGAUAGAUCAGCGCAACGUGCCUAAGCAAGAUUCCAGGGAUGGAUAAUCAACCCAAUCCAGCACCUAAAAUCCCACAAGAGGAUUUGGAUGAAGAGAUUGAAAAUCAACGUGGUAUUCUAAUUGAUGAAGAAAUCUUCAACUUGGAAGAAAUUAAACGGCGACUAGAAAUGAUAAAAACUCUACUGUCCUUACUGCUGCUGUGUCUUCACUUUUACAGCAAUGCUCCCUCUGAGAGAGACUAGACUCAUCAAAAUUUGACAUGGAAAGAAGGUGAUGUUACACUUAAUAUACUUUUAUGCUGAUCAAUUUGACUGUCAACUGAGCCUGGGGAGUGGGGAAUUUGAACCUUGCUUGGUUGGGGUGGGGAAUUCGAAUUGUGUCAAGUCUUUCCAAUGGAAUACAAGUCUUUUAUCUUUCAAUAUGGCGGUUUUAAAGGUAAAUAGUUCAUUAGCAAAUGGUUUGGAAGAAAGGGUUCACAAGGGCUAGGUUCAAAGCUUGGUCAGUGAGUAGAAAGUCACAGUUCUUGUUGGUUUUGCUUUUUACCAAAAUACUGACCAUCUAAUCCUGCACUCAUGCAGGGCAUUACCGAAAAACAAUCUUCAAAAGUUCAAAUGCCCAGCUAGAGGGGGGAAUUUUGAAGCUUCGAAAUGACCAAUACUUAUUUCUGGCAAACUCAGGACCAAUAAUAUUUUUAAGCCCAUACACUUCUUCCUGAGCUAAAACUUGACCCCAGAAAUGUUGGAUGGGUAGAACACACUUCAAAAAAAGUCCUUUUUCUUCUUACAUAACUCAGUUAAAAUAGAAAGGAGUCUAACAAUUGCUUUUGUCACCGAGAAAAAUUUUAUACCUGUGUAUCUAUGUUUGAGACACAAUUCCACAAGUCACCAUGCUAUAUAGAUGUUUUACUGAAUUGAUGCAAAAACUCCCUUAGAGGUCACCUUUUUUAGUAACACAGAAUUUGAAUACAGGGUUGUUCUUCAUCCAAGUUCACCUAAUGUUUUCUUUUUAUUUUAUUCAGGUUGAUAAUAAGAGCAUGGAUAGCUUUGCUGUAAAGAAAUAUUUACUAAGUCUUAUUAAUUAGUGUUAGUAUUUGCUGCCUUAAUUUUAAAAGAUAAAAUUCUUGGAAUCACAAAGGCUUUCAUUUGUAUUAUACACAAAAUAUAUGGCACUUUUAUAUGGCUCAGCUUUCAAGUUUGCCUUUUUUAAGUCUUGGAAUUGUGAAGUAUUUUUAGUAGUUUUCACUGCCAUGGUUUUAUAGAUUGUAUGUAUGGCCAGUGUAAGGCUGCGACUUGUUUGUAUUGUCACCAAACUAUGGUUUGGCUUUGAAGUAAUCCUUUGUUGGUGUCAUGAACUUUAAGUCAUGAUUAAAAUGCAUUUUAGUGGUU